UCCUGGCGCCCGUCCUCCUCCCCGGGCGCGGUCCGCUGGGGCCAGGCCUCCCGCGCGGCUGCGGGCGUUGCCUCCAUCCCCGGAAACACCGCCCGCGCGCGGAAGAGGGGCAGGGGGGGAACCGAGACGCCGCGCUGGCCGUGUCCACGGGCCGUCACCAAAGCUGAAGAGACGCCUCCCGUGUGCGCGCCACGCCCGCGUGUCCCGGGAACACGGCCACUCCGCGGGAAAGGGCCUGCGGACGCCGCGCCCGCCUGCGCAGCGCGAGCAGGUCUCGGAGGCUGUCGCUGCACAACCACGUCUCCGAAUCAGUCGUUGGCGUCGCAGCUCCGUCCUCGCUGCGCAGGAGGUCGCCGAGGGCGGCACAAAGCCGGCUUCCCCCUGGCCAGGACGUGCGUUUUGCCCGGCACGGGAGGGUGUUGUCACGCCCGCGUGUCACCAGGACGCCGCGUGUUUGAGGCCAGGGCGUCCCACGAAAGGGACCGGCCGUGACUGUGAACACCAGCAGCUGCACAUGCACGACAGCCAAGACAGACACGUCAGGACCGUCAGACUCUCGUGCAGGGCGAAGCUGACACCAGAGGGGGCUGGAGGCAACGCGGCCGCGCCCUGCUCCGCGCUGGGCCUGUCACUGUCCCUGCGGCAGCGAGAGGGGCCCUCGCCCUGCCUCCACUAGGGAUCUUUCCUGCUGCCGCCAGCCUCUAGGUUUGUGGUGCUGCUGACACUUAGCCAUUGAAAACCAGCCAGAUGUGCACAGCUGUGCCCAUGUGGAGCUCGCCUCACGGGCUGCGCGUCUGCCCCCCCUGGAGCUGGCGUCAGGGCCACGGCGCAGUUCCUCAGCUGCACCUCACCUCCUGCUGCAGCGGUUCAUUCUCCUGCACACCCUUCAGUCCCCGAGAAAUACUGCCAACGAGAGUCAGGGCUCUGCGAGCAGAAAGGAUGCGCUGAGCGGCGCCAGGUCCCUCCUCUCUGGAGGGCCUCACGGUGUCGCCAGGCAGCCUGAGCCGAGACAGGACGCGGCCCACAGCAGGAGGCCGAGGUCGCCUUGCAGGGCCCUGGCCACCUGCAAACUCGGGGGCCGGGAGCCCUGUUUGACCUCAGCAGGACCUGACAACGAGACGGCAAGAUCGAUUCUGUUCGGAGCCCACACUCCGCUUCUAAGGAACUUCUAAGGAAAGUGAGCUCCCCAGGCCAGGGAGGGCCACGCCGACCUCUGCUGAAUUCAACCCCUGGAGCACAGUAGAUGCAAAAGGAAAAAGGCCAUUUUUCAAAUACUUCUGCUUCAAAUACCUCAAAUGCUUUCUGAAUUAACAACUUAUGUAAGACAUUGCUACAUGAGAGCUAAUAUGAACAUUCUGGGGCGAUCUUCUAAAAGUGAGUGGAUUAAACAAAGCUGCUGAGCCAGGUGUGGGCGAGGCAGGUGGCCACGCACAGGUGAGGGAGCCACCCGAGCUCGCGGUCUCGGAGCACACUGGGCCCUCCGCCCCGUCAGAGUGUCCCGCAGCCGUCUGUGCACAGAAAUGAUGGGAAACAACAGCAAAACCACUGGCUCUCUCUUAAAAACAUUUCAAAAUAAAUGUUUACAUUUUCAGAGAAACUAAAAUGCCACACUGAAGUGCGCACGAGUUUCCUUAAAACUGAAACUGGCUUUCUCCAUUAAGAGAACAACCGAGGGCCUCGUUGUGGGAUAAACGACUCCCUCCCCCCGUGUUAACCCACCUGGAUCAAAUCCCGGCCACAGAGAGGGGGCAGGGACCUCACUCUGGGGGAGAAGAACCUUCCGGGAUGAGACUAAUUUCCGGGCCUCCUGAGCGCGCUGUGGGUGAAUGCCCGUGUCCUGGGAGCCGCCGGCCACGUCCUGCGCUCGCCUCCUGUCCGCGGCAUUUCCUGUCCGCGAGUCUCUGGAAGCGCCUCACGCUGCUCCCAGGCUCGGCGCUGCUGAGAAGGAGGACGGCACAAGAGCAGCUUGAUCAGUGACCCCGGGCGACACAUUAAACAAACAUAAAAAUUAGCUACAAAAUAAACUUCCUGGGCCCUGACCCGAGCCUUUCUCCCAGCCUUGUGCACACUCCCCUGCGGGCGGCGUCCUCACUAUCCACGCGGGGUCCAUGUGGUCAGGGCUGGGCGGGGGGCCUGGCCAUGGCUGUGUCCAGAGCAGGUCCUGUGUCCAGGAGGCUCCUUUUCUGGGCUCCAUCCAUCCCCCCGAGACCCGCCACUGCCACCUCCCGAGAGUGACCUGUGUGAGCUCUCAAGCCUCAGUCUCCCCUCCUGCACACUGGUACUGCGCGCCCCCUGCUCGUGGGGCUCUCCCGAGACCGUGCCUGGACGCACUCCGAGCGGCGCCGUGGCCCGGCAGUGGUGCGGCGAGCAGCCCUCGCCCCGCCGAGAGGACCGAGGACCCACAGAGCCCUGCGGGACCCCGGCCCCACAGUGGGGUCAGCUCUGGGACCCGGCGAAUGCCGCUUCCUCCUGCUGUGCUUACAACUCGCCAGGUGCUCUGCUGAGCACUUCGAAUCGAUUUCCCAACUCAGUUCUCACACCAGCCCUCAGAGAGAAACCGUAUAAGCCUCAUUUUGUCGCAGCUGGACCAAGACUACGCAGCCAGAAAGCAGCAGGUUUGGGGUUCGAAUGCAGCUCUCCGAAGGCGGUUUGCACAGCAGCUGAGAUGACGACUGCCGCUGCCCCACCCCUGCGCUGCGGAAUUCACUGUGAACUGCCGUCCGCUGGCAAACAGCAGCCUCAGCGCCCUCGCCCCGGGCUUUCCACGGGCUGCUCAAUUCAGCAGGAAGUGCUGACUGCACAGGCCCUGACCCCGGGGAUGGCGGAGCCCAUUCAAGAAACCACUCAGCACACAGCUGUUGUCGGAGCUGCGGAUACCUGGCGGCACCCUGGUUUCCAGGUGCUUUCCAGGCGUGAACGGGUUAUUGUUCCUCUUCUCUUUGCAAGUUCCCAGGAGAGGGAUCUUCACAGGGCUAUAAAUUUGACAUUGCAUGGAAAGUCCUGGCGAGAGACUCAUGACCCAUGAAAUUGGAAGCCUUAUCGGAGAGCCUGCCCAGGUCAGGAGAGGAGGCCACACACUCCAGCUUUCCCACCCAGCUCUUCCCCUGCCUGGGACAAUCGUAAAUAACGAGGUCACGUCCAAGCAACUGAAUUUCUAACGUGCAUGUGUGUGUGUGUGUGCAUGUGCGUGUGCAAACAGAGCAUGUCUCUGUGCACAUGCAUGCUCUGAAUGCAUGUUCAUUAAAUCCACAGAAAUGAUUAGUGCUCACAUGACCAAGAGCAGCUGGACUCCCGCCCUUAACAUGAGCCCCCGACACACACACACGUUUAUCUGUGACCUACCAAGACAUGCACAGCUUCUGCCUGCGAUUGCUUGGAUCCUGAGACCAUCACAGGCCACAGCCAUGCCGUGUCCACUCACGUGCAAAGUGCUACGUGCAGCACUGAAUGAUUUCCUUUGCAACCAGGCUUGACAGAUCUGGCAUGUUCCUUCUUAAAAUACGGGCAGAGCUGCCAUCCAAUAAAUCAUGCAAAAGUUCCUUGAUUCAAAGGUAUGAGCAGCUCGUAGCAAACUCUGCGUGUAGCCCUCGCUUUCAUGGUUUCUGUGGUGGAGCAUCUAAGAUCUUGGUGCUUUUUCCACGUUCAUCUGCACAUACGGGCUUGUGUAGAGCAGGAUGGAAGCUUCUGGUGGCAGCUACCAACACGCACGGUAAAUGCUGGGACAGAGACACCGGCAGGGAAAUGAAAGUCUCACUUGAUCCCUGCCAGGUUACGUAAUUUCAAGAGGGAUCUAGUUUCGGGUUUGUCCACAUAUUGUGACAUUCUAGCUUGAAUUUAUGUCAAAAUAGUUCCUUUCCUGAAUAUUAUUUAAAAACUAAAAAGUCAAUGACUUUUCAAGCACUUAGCUGGCACUGCUGUCAUCCUGGGAACUGGGAAAUUCCAACAGUAACAAUACAGAAGUUUAGCUCAUGUUCAGUGUUUAAUCACCAAAGCCAAACUUACAAAAAAAAUACCAAGUCCUUCCUCUUCUUAACCAGGAAAUGAAGCAAUUCAGUUCACAGCAGCAAGUCCCGGCUUUGCCCUCCAUCCCAGGAGCUGCUGGGGCAGCGCCUGGAGCUAAACCACGGGUGGGCACAGGAGCUCGUUCGCAAAUGCCCGCGCUCGGCAGGACAAGGCCAGGCAACGCUGUGAGAAAGGGAAAUCGAGUCAGUGGGCCUGUCCCAGGGCCCGUCUGUGCCAGUCCAAGGGUGGAGUCCACAAGAGAGCAGGGGCUGAGAAAACGAUUCGCAUUUUGGCAGCAUGCCAUUCCAGACUGUCACCGAACAUGUAUUCCCCGGACACACACGCACUGCAUGUGUGUACACGUACAUGUGGAGCAGCCGUGCUGUGAUAUGCACUCCACAGAAGCAGCAGACACGGGAGUGGCUCUUGCCACGCCUGGCCAGCCUCUUCGCUCGCGUGAGAUAUUUACUUACAGAACAUAGAUCUGUGUGUCCCAGUGCACGUGUGCACACACACACCGUCACUGACUGCCGUGUGGCUUCCCUGCUACACACCCCAAGUAUGUCUAGAACCUCGAUAUUCCUCUGCUGUUAACUACACUCUCCCUUCACGUGUCGGGGUGAGCAUCACCCCCAGAUUCCAGCCUGGCUUCUCCCACCUAACCUGGCUGGGACUCGCUGGGGCCCUGGGCUACCAGAGCGGCUGAGUGUCACCGAGAUGCCCAUCUCUCCUCUCUCCCUCCACACGGCCUGCAUGGGACCUCCGUCCGUGGCACCCGCCUCAGCUCCGGGCAGUCGCAUGUUCAUGAUCGUGUGCGCAGUGUCUGGGCUGUCACUGCCACUGCCAGCCACGUCCUGCCCUCAAGGUCAGGAUUGUUCCGGGAUCUUUCAGGCAGCCUGGCCAGAAAAUAUUGUCGAAGACCUUUCAUCUUUCAUCAGGGCUACCCUGAUGUUGUCACCAGCGAUCUCGACCACGGCCUGUCCUGAUCUGGAGUCUGGAAGAGCACGCUCUGCUUUCCUGAGCCCUGGGGGCGCGUCCUGUCCGCCCGGCAUCACGGAUGUGAGUGUUGAAGACAGCCACCGAGCACUGAACACGGUGGAGGCACUCCGUGCCGGCAGGGGAGGCCGGCUCUGGUCGCAUCACCGCGGGCUCAAGGGACGAGGACAACACAGACCCUUCCGAGUGUUACUGCUUCACACGCGUGUCUGAGCCGGGGAGCCUGCUGCUGCCGCCGAUGCCCGCCGUGGCAGGACCCGUCCCGACCAGCCUCCAGGACCCCGGGUGACCAGACACCAUGCGUGGGCUUCCACAGGACCCCGGGUGACCAGACAGCAUGUGUGGGCUUCCACAGGACCCCGGGUGACCAGACACCAUGCGUGGGCUUCCACAGGACCCCGGGUGACCAGACACCAUGCGUGGGCUUCCACAGGACCCCAGGUGACCAGACAGCACGUGUGGGCUUCCACAGGACCCCAGCUCAGGCACCUUCAUGAAACGGCCUGAGUCACAGGUUGAACACAUCAGCAAGUGUUUGUCUUGGUCUGCCUCCUGUUUGGGUUAACACCAAGAUAAAGUGCAAGUUGGCUGAAGUUGCGCAUAGUAAACACGCACAUUUCAGUCAUCCCUGCUGAGGGACGUGCCUCACCCCGUCCCCUUACUCAGCAAGUAGCUGAUUGGAACAGCAGGGUCCACGGUGCGGGGACGGGCGUCAGUGUGGCUGGGCCCGUGGGCGUUGCUGAUUCAGCGUGUGUUCGACACGUGCCAGACAGUGUUUAAGGUCUUUCCACUGCGGCCCUGUGAGCCAGAAUCUGCUCCCACCGUGCCACUCUGCAGAUGGGGACAGCGACGCCCAGGAAGCUCGUGUCCCUGGCCCCCAGGGUCAGAGCUGACUCCCGGGAUUCGUGGGGAGCCACGCGCAGGGGUGCAUUGCUGCAUCUAGGAGGCCCGGCACGUCACCCGUGAGGCUGAGGCAGCCGGCACACGACGAGCUGCGUCUUUCAGAAGCCAAGUGUCCGGGCCGAGGCCCUGGGCGAGGAAGGGAUCCUCGAGGGACGGGGCGGGCAGGCGGGCACCCCGCCCAGGGCCUCUGCGCACCGAGGAAGGACACGGACAUGCACGGGGCACCAGGAAGGGGGCAGGCCGCAGACCGGCCAUCGGAGUCCUGACGUGGAGAUAAAGCAGGGACUGGUGGGGACUGGCCUCGGCCCCUGCCCACCACACACCCGGCAGCGCCGUGACUGGCAGCCCCAGCUGGGGCCCGCCCCGCCGGCCUCCUGACAGAUGUUUUAAUCUACCGUUUGAAGAAUGGCCUCCGCACAGCUCUGCUCUCGAACAUCUGUUUCUGUUUAGAAAGGCGGAGGCGCUUCUAAUGGCGCUGCCUGCGCCGCACCGGGACUGUUUGAGGGCGACCCACGUUGCUUACAUUACGCUCAGCGGCGGGAGGAUUUACUGCGGGCGGGCUGGGCGCACUUCUGAGCUCUGCAAAAGAGAUCAUUCAUGUUAAAAAGUGCACGAUUUAGCUUCCUAAAUACAUCCGUUUUGGAAGGAGGCAUUUACUUUAGC